rnacentral:rRNA from 1 species
AGUGAACGCUGGCGGUAGGCCUAACACAUGCAAGUCGAACGGCAGCACAGUAAGAGCUUGCUCUUACGGGUGGCGAGUGGCGGACGGGUGAGGAAUACAUCGGAAUCUACUUUUUCGUGGGGGAUAACGUAGGGAAACUUACGCUAAUACCGCAUACGACCUACGGGUGAAAGCAGGGGAUCUUCGGACCUUGCGCGAUUGAAUGAGCCGAUGUCGGAUUAGCUAGUUGGCGGGGUAAAGGCCCACCAAGGCGACGAUCCGUAGCUGGUCUGAGAGGAUGAUCAGCCACACUGGAACUGAGACACGGUCCAGACUCCUACGGGAGGCAGCAGUGGGGAAUAUUGGACAAUGGGCGCAAGCCUGAUCCAGCUAUACCGCGUGGGUGAAGAAGGCCUUCGGGUUGUAAAGCCCUUUUGUCGGGAAAGAAAAGCAGCAGGUUAAUACCCCGCUGUUCUGACGGGACCCAAAGAAUAAGCACCGGCUAACUUCGU